rnacentral:rRNA from 1 species
GGCGGCGUGCUAUACAUGCAAGUCGAGCGGACAGAUGGGAGCUUGCUCCCUGAUGUUAGCGGCGGACGGGUGAGUAACACGUGGGUAACCUGCCUGUAAGACUGGGAUAACUCCGGGAAACCGGGGCUAAUACCGGAUGCUUGUUUGAACCGCAUGGUUCAGACAUAAAAGGUGGCUUCGGCUACCACUUACAGAUGGACCCGCGGCGCAUUAGCUAGUUGGUGAGGUAACGGCUCACCAANGGGCGAACGAUUGCGUAGCCGAACUGAGAGGGUGAUCGGCCACACUGGGACUGAGACACGGCCCAGACUCCUACCGGAGGCAGCAGUAAGGAAUCUUCCGCAAUGAACGAAAGUCUGACGGAGCAACGCCGCGUGAGUGAUGAAGGUUUUCGGAUCGUAAAGCUCUGUUGUUAGGGAAGAACAAGUGCCGUUCAAAUAGGGCGGCACCUUGACGGUACCUAACCCAGAAAGCCACGGCUAACUACGUGCCAGCAGCCGCGGUAAUACGUAGGUGGCAAGCGUUGUCCGGAAUUAUUGGGCGUAAAGGGCUCGCAGGCGGUUUCUUAAGUCUGAUGUGAAAGCCCCCGGCUCAACCGGGGAGGGUCAUUGGAAACUGGGGAACUUGAGUGCAGAAGAGGAGAGUGGAAUUCCACGUGUAGCGGUGAAAUGCGUAGAGAUGUGGAGGAACACCAGUGGCGAAGGCGACUCUCUGGUCUGUAACUGACGCUGAGGAGCGAAAGCGUGGGGAGCGAACAGGAUUAGAUACCCUGGUAGUCCACGCCGUAAACGAUGAGUGCUAAGUGUUAGGGGGUUUCCGCCCCUUAGUGCUGCAGCUAACGCAUUAAGCACUCCGCCUGGGGAGUACGGUCGCAAGACUGAAACUCAAAGGAAUUGACGGGGGCCCGCACAAGCGGUGGAGCAUGUGGUUUAAUUCGAAGCAACGCGAAGAACCUUACCAGGUCUUGACAUCCUCUGACAAUCCUAGAGAUAGGACGUCCCCUUCGGGGGCAGAGUGACAGGUGGUGGCAUGGUUGUCGUCAGNCUCGUGUCGUGAGAUGUUGGGUUAAGUCCCGCAACGAGCGCAACCCUUGAUCUUAGUUGCCAGCAUUCAGUUGGGCACUCUAAGGUGACUGCCGGUGACAAACCGGAGGAAGGUGGGGAUGACGUCAAAUCAUCAUGCCCCUUAUGACCUGGGCUACACACGUGCUACAAUGGACAGAACAAAGGGCAGCGAAACCGCGAGGUUAAGCCAAUCCCACAAAUCUGUUCUCAGUUCGGAUCGCAGUCUGCAACUCGACUGCGUGAAGCUGGAAUCGCUAGUAAUCGCGGAUCAGCAUGCCGCGGUGAAUACGUUCCCGGGCCUUGUACACACCGCCCGUCACACCACGAGAGUUUGUAACACCCGAAGUCGGUGAGGUAACCUUUAUGGAGCCAGCCGCCGAAGGUG